rnacentral:lncRNA from 1 species
AGAGCAACCCCUGCAACAACGCACACAGACACAGAGCGCACAGGGUGUUGCGAGAGAAAAGUUUGUCCAGCUCGUGCCUUCUGCAAGGAGGGAGGAGUGAUCGCGAUCGGGUAUCAUGGCACGGCGGUCGCGGCCGUGCGGCAUGCAGCUGGCGGUGGUGCUCGCGCUCCUCGUCGCCGGCGCGGCGGUGGUGGCCGACGACGACGAGAAGUGCGGGAACCCGUGCGGCAACCCCUGCGGCGUGCCGUGCAUCUACGCCAGCCCGCCGCCGCCGCCGGCGCCCGUGUACUCGCCCCCGCCGGCGCCCGUGUACUCACCCCCGCCGGCGCCGGAGUACUACCCGCCGCCUACUCCGGAGAAGCCCGGCUGCCCGCCGCCGCCGGAGGGGGGAGGAGGAGGGUACAACCCGACGCCGUACACGCCCGGCGGCGGCUACAACCCGUCGCCGUACACGCCCGGCGGCGGCGGCUACAACCCGACGCCCUCCGGGUGGUACACGCCGCCCAACCAGCUGCCGUCCUACAACACCCCGCCGGGGACGCUCUACCCGCAGGACCCCGG